AUUGAACGCUGGCGGCAGGCUUAACACAUGCAAGUCGAGCGGGGACUUCGGUCCUAGCGGCGAACGGGUGAGGAAUGCUUGGGAAUCUGCCCAGUAGUGGGGGAUAACGUUUCGAAAGGAACGCUAAUACCGCAUACGUCCUACGGGAGAAAGGGGGGGAUCUUCGGACCUCUCGCUAUUGGAUGAGCCCAAGUCGGAUUAGCUAGUUGGUGAGGUAAAGGGUCACCAAGGCGACGAUCCGUAGCUGGUCUGAGAGGAUGAUCAGCCAAACUGGAACUGAGACACGGUCCAGACUCCUACGGGAGGCAGCAGUGGGGAAUAUUGGACAAUGGGCGAAAGCCUGAUCCAGCCAUGCCGCGUGUGUGAAGAAGGCCUUCGGGUUGUAAAGCACUUUAAGCGAGGAGGAAUGGCUCUUGGUUAAUAACCUUGAGCAGUGACGUUACUCGCAGAAUAAGCACCGGCUAACUCUGUGCCAGCAGCCGCAGUAAUAC
rnacentral:rRNA from 1 species